GCGCUUUGGCAGCACAUAUACUAAAAGUGGAACGAUACAGAGAAAAUCAGCAUGGCCCCUGCGCAAGGAUGACACACAAAUUCAUGAAGCCUUUCAUAUUAAA
rnacentral:snRNA from 1 species